rnacentral:rRNA from 1 species
UACGUAGGCAGCAAGCGUUGUUCGGAGUUACUGGGCGUAAAGGGUGUGUAGGCGGUUCUUUAAGUUUGGUGUGAAAUCUCCCGGCUCAACUGGGAGGGUGCGCCGAAUACUGAGGGACUAGAGUACGGGAGAGGAAAGUGGAAUUCCUGGUGUAGCGGUGAAAUGCGUAGAUAUCAGGAGGAACACCUGUGGUGUAGACAGCUUACUGGACCACUUCUGACGCUGAGACACGAAAGCGUGGGUAGCAAACAGG